rfam:Oscillatoriales cyanobacterium 'hensonii' Contig_403, whole genome shotgun sequence.
AGAAUCAAAUAUUUGGAACCAGAGACAGCAGGUGAAUAUCGCUUAAUUUCCUGCCGAGGUUUCAUCAGCCUUUCAACUUUCUUGCUUUAUGCUGCAAGCUUGAAGUGUCUGAUGGAAUUCCCCGGCACAGUUGCCGGGGUUUUUUAUUGACUGA